UCCGGUGGCAAUAGCGGAGGGGCCACACCCGUUCCCAUCCCGAACACGGAAGUUAAGCCCUCCAGCGCUGAUGGUACUGCAGGGGUAAGCCUGUGGGAGAGUAGGACGUUGCCGGAU
rnacentral:rRNA from 1 species